GAUCCUGGCUCAGAUUGAACGCUGGCGGCAGGCCUAACACAUGCAAGUCGGACGGUAGCACAGAGAGCUUGCUCUCGGGUGACGAGUGGCGGACGGGUGAGUAAUGUCUGGGGAUCUGCCCGAUAGAGGGGGAUAACCACUGGAAACGGUGGCUAAUACCGCAUAACGUCGCAAGACCAAAGAGGGGGACCUUCGGGCCUCUCACUAUCGGAUGAACCCAGAUGGGAUUAGCUAGUAGGCGGGG
rnacentral:rRNA from 1 species